AUUGAACGCUGGCGGCAGGCUUAACACAUGCAAGUCGAGCGGGGAAGAGUAGCAUGCUACCUUACCUAGCGGCGGACGGGUGAGUAAUGCUUAGGAAUCUGCCUAUUAGUGGGGGACAACAUCUCGAAAGGGAUGCUAAUACCGCAUACGUCCUACGGGAGAAAGCAGGGGACCUUCGGGCCUUGCGCUAAUAGAUGAGCAUAAGUCGGAUUAGCUAGUUGGUGGGGUAAAGGCCUACCAAGGCGACGAUCUGUAGCGGGUCUGAGAGGAUGAUCCGCCACACUGGGACUGGGACACGGCCCAGGCUCCUGCGGGAGGCAGCAGUGGGGAAUAUUGGACAAUGGGGGGAACCCUGGUCAAGCCAUGCCGCGUGUGUGAAGAAUGCCUUUUGGUUGUAAAGCACUUUAAGCGAGGAGGAGGCUACCGAGAUUAAUACUCUUGGAUAGUGGACGUUACUCGCAGAAUAAGCACCGGCUAACUCUGUGCCAGCAGCCGCAGUAA
rnacentral:rRNA from 1 species